CCAAAUUAGCAUUAGAAAACCGAAUUUGAAAUUCAAAAUGAAUUUCACUUUAUUGACCAAACAAAACCUUAAAUGAAUAUAAAAGAAUUCACGUAUUAGUUCGGUCCCUCAAAAUAAUUGAAAUGUUUUAAACGGCCUCAAAACCUGAAAUCAACUUUUUAUUCCUUAAAAAUUGCCUUUGUCCCAAAACCAGAGAAUCUUUCAACUUAAAGGACUGAAUUGAAAUUUUGAAAGAAAAGC
rnacentral:lncRNA from 1 species